rnacentral:rRNA from 1 species
CCAGACUCCUACGGGAGGCAGCAGUGGGGAAUAUUGCACAAUGGGGGGAACCCUGAUGCAGCGACGCCGCGUGGGUGAAGGAGUACUUCGGUACGUAAAGCCCUAUCAGCAGGAAAGAAAAUGACGGUACCUGACUAAGAAGCCCCGGCUGACUACGUGCCAGCAGCCGCGGUAAUACGUAGGGGGCAAGCGUUAUCCGGAUUUACUGGGUGUAAAGGGAGCGUAGACGGCGAUGUAAGUCUGAAGUGAAAGCCCGGGGCUCAACCCCGGGACUGCUUUGGAAACUGUAUGGCUGGAGUGCUGGAGAGGCAAGCGGAAUUCCUAGUGUAGCGGUGAAAUGCGUAGAUAUUAGGAAGAACACCAGUGGCGAAGGCGGCUUGCUGGACAGUAACUGACGUUGAGGCUCGAAAGCGUGGGGAGCAAACAGGAUUAGAUACCCGAGAAC